UGGGCUCUGCUUUAUGGAGUUGAU
rnacentral:piRNA from 1 species